UGAUGCAGCCAUGCCGCGUGUAUGAAGAAGGCCUUACGGGUUGUAAAGUACUUUCAGCAGUGAGGAAGGUGGAUAUGUUAAUAGCAUAUUCAUUUGACGUUAGCUGCAGAAGAAGCACCGGCUAACUCCGUGCCAGCAGCCGCGGUAAUACGGAGGGUGCGAGCGUUAAUCGGAAUUACUGGGCGUAAAGCGCAUGCAGGUGGUUUGUUAAGUCAGAUGUGAAAGCCCGGGGCUCAACCUCGGAAUUGCAUUUGAAACUGGCAAACUAGAGUACUGUAGAGGGGGUAGAAUUUCAGGUGUAGCGGUGAAAUGCGUAGAGAUCUGAAGGAAUACCGGUGGCGAAGGCGGCCCCCUGGACAGAUACUGACACUCAGAUGCGAAAGCGUGGGGAGCAAACAGGAUUAGAUACCCCUGGUAG
rnacentral:rRNA from 1 species